UGCAAGUCUCAGUACAUGCCGCACUAAGGUGAAACCGCAAAAGGCUCAUUAAAUCAGUUAUGGUUCCUUGGAUCUUAAACAGUUACUUGGAUAACUGUGGUAAUUCUAGAGCUAAUACAUGCAAACAAGUCCCGACCAGAGAUGGGAGGGACGCUUUUAUUAGAUCAAAACCGAUCGGCGUCCGGCUCCGGCCGGCGCCGUCUCUUUUGGUGACUCUGGAUAACUUUUAGCCGAUCGCACGGUCACAGUACCGGCGACGCAUCUUUCAAAUGUCUGACUUAUCAACUGUCGAUGGUAGGCUCUGCGCCUACCAUGGUUGUAACGGGUAACGGGGAAUCAGGGUUCGAUUCCGGAGAGGGAGCCUGAGAAACGGCUACCACAUCCAAGGAAGGCAGCAGGCGCGCAAAUUACCCACUCCCGGCACGGGGAGGUAGUGACGAAAAAUAACGAUACGGGACUCAUCCGAGGCCCCGUAAUCGGAAUGAGUACACUUUAAAUACUUUAACGAGUACCAAUUGGAGGGCAAGUCUGGUGCCAGCAGCCGCGGUAAUUCCAGCUCCAAUAGCGUAUAUUAAAGUUGUUGCGGUUAAAAAGCUCGUAGUUGGAUCUGUGUGCCACGCUGUCGGUUCACCGCCCGUCGGUGUAAACUGGCAUGUCUGUGGGACGUCCUGCCGGUGGCGGUACGGGCUGCCGGCGCUGCGUAGGGGCACAACCCCGAAGCACGCCGGCGUGUCCCGGUCCGCCGAUCCAAUCCCGCCGCGGUGCUCUUCACUGAGUGUCGAGGUGGGCCGGCACGUUUACUUUGAACAAAUUAGAGUGCUCA
rnacentral:rRNA from 1 species